UACGGAGGGGGCUAGCGUUGUUCGGAAUUACUGGGCGUAAAGGGCUGGUAGGCGGCCAACUAAGUCGGAUGUGAAAUCCCCAGGCUCAACUGGGGAAGUGCACCCGAAACUGAGUGGCUUGAGUACUAAAGAGGGUCGCGGAAUUCCCGGUGUAGAGGUGAAAUUCGUAGAUAUCGGGAGGAACACCGGUGGCGAAGGCGGCGACCUGGGUAGAUACUGACGCUGAGGCGCGAAAGCGUGGGGAGCAAACAGG
rnacentral:rRNA from 1 species